GAAAGAUUUUAGAACUAUUGGCAAAUGGUAUUUCACUUAUAUGCUUGCUUCUAAGGUCAUUUUUAAAAACUGCAUACCUUUAUACCUUUAUAACAGCAGGCAUCUUUGUUGACUUCAGGAUUAUUCAGUAGUUUCAUUAACUAAAUUAAUUUUUCUGACAGAAAGAAAGAAGAUCAGGAAGGGUGAAUAGGUACUAUGAUCUUUGGAUUUGGCCUGAAGGUUAUUCAGGAUUUCAAUGGGAAUGGAAUCCGUGCAGAGGAAAGGCCAAAAACAAGACAACACAAAGAAAUUGGCUCAUGCAAUAUGGAGGCUUAGCAGUCCCAAGAUCUGUAGUCAGCAAGCUGGGGACCCAGGAGAGCCAAUGAUAUAGUGCCAGUCCAAGUUCAAAGGCCUGAGAACCAGGAGAGCUGUGAUGGAUGUUCCAGUUAGAAAGCCAGCAGGCUGGAGCCUCAAGAAGAGCUAAUGUUUCAGUUUGAUCCUGAAGGCAGAAAAAAAGCUGAUGUCCCAGUUCGAAGGCAGUCAGACAGGAGGAGUACCAUCUUACUUGCAGGAGGCUGAAGACAAAAGAAGAUGUUUAGCGGGGAGAAUCAGGGACCUCAAAGAGAAGGAAGGCAAUUCACAGGACACUCUAUGAUGUUCGCACAAUGACGGGACCACCUAACGACAUUUUCAGAACGUAUCCCCAUCAUUGAGCAGCGCAUGACUAUACUCC
rnacentral:lncRNA from 1 species